rnacentral:misc_RNA from 1 species
GUUGCUUUUUUUUUUUGGCCUUUCUUUGUUAACAUUAGGCCCAUCUCUGGUAGAGCUGGCUAACUUCUUGUAAACCUUCUUUUGUGAAACUGGAGUGUCCUCUACUGCAUCACUGGUUUUAUCCUUAAGUUUUUCAGUCUUCUCUUCAGUUACACCAUCCUGAGGUGAAAUUACAGUUUUUCUAGGGUUACUCUUAUCAGUUGCCUUUUGUGAGGCCAGAGUCUUUUGGUCAUUUUCAUCUUGCUUUGCACUGGGCUUCUCUACAGUUGGUUCUGGAAGUAGCGCCUUGCGGCUAAGGCGAAGUUGUCCCUUUUCAUUUACCUCAAUAAGUUUAACAUCAAGACGGUCUCCAACUUUAAAAGCGUCUUCUGCCUUUGGUAGCCAGCUCGAAGUCAGUUCACUUAUAUGGCAAAGUCCCUCACGACCUGGGGCUAUCUCAACAAAAACUCCAUAAGGAGCUAUUGAUUUGAUCUCACAAUUCCUAAAAAUAUCACCAACGGUUGGAACCAUUGUAAG